rnacentral:rRNA from 1 species
UACGUAGGUGGCAAGCGUUGUCCGGAUUUACUGGGCGUAAAGGGCGUGCAGGCGGUUUGUUAAGUGCAGGGUGAAAGCUCCCGGCUCAACUGGGAGAGGUCCUUGCAUACUGGCAAACUCGAGGGAGGCAGAGGAAAGUGGAAUUCCCGGUGUAGUGGUGAUAUGCGUAGAUAUCGCUUGGAACGCCAAAGGUGAAAACAGGUAGCUGGGGGUGUGCUGACACUGAGACACGAAAGCCAGGGGAGCAAACGGG